rnacentral:rRNA from 1 species
CACGUAGGCACCAAGCGUUGUCCGGAUUUAUUGGGCGUAAAGAGCGCGCAGGCGGUCGUUCAAGUCGCGUGUGAAAGCCCCCGGCUCAACUGGGGAGGGUCACGCGAUACUGAUCGACUCGAAGGCAGGAGAGGGUAGUGGAAUUCCCGGUGUAGUGGUGAAAUGCGUAGAUAUCGGGAGGAACACCAGUGGCGAAGGCGACUACCUGGCCUGUUCUUGACGCUGAGGUGCGAAAGCGUGGGGAGCAAACAGG